UACGUAGGGGGCAAGCGUUGUCCGGAAUCAUUGGGCGUAAAGAGCGUGUAGGCGGCUCGGUAAGUCCGCUCUGAAAGUCCAGGGCUCAACCCUGGGAUGCCGGUGGAUACUGUCGAGCUCGAGUCCGGAAGAGGCGAGUGGAAUUCCUGGUGUAGCGGUGAAAUGCGCAGAUAUCAGGAGGAACACCAAUGGCGAAGGCAGCUCGCUGGGACGUGACUGACGCUGAGACGCGAAAGCGUGGGGAGCAAACAGG
rnacentral:rRNA from 1 species